AAACUCAAAGGAAUUGACGGGGGCCCGCACAAGCAGCGGAGCGUGUGGUUUAAUUCGAUGCUACGCGAAGACCUUACCCGGGUUUGACAUACAGGUGGUAGGGAACUGAAAGGGGACCGACCCUUUCGGGGAGCCUGUACAGGUGCUGCAUGGCUGUCGUCAGCUCGUGUCGUGAGAUGUCCGGUUAAGUCCGGUAACGAGCGCAACCCUUGUCGUAUGUUACAUGUGUCAUACGAGACUGCUGGUAUAAAGCCGGAGGAAGGUGGGGAUGACGUCAAAUCAUCAUGCCCCUUAUGUCCCGGGCUACACACGUGCUACAAUGGCCCGUACAGAGGGCAGCGAACCAGUGAUGGGGAGCGAAUCCCACAAAACGGGUCUCAGUUCGGAUUGCAGGCUGCAACUCGCCUACAUGAAGUCGGAAUCGCUAGUAAUCGCGGAUCAGCACGCCGCGGUCGAAUACGUUCCCGGGCCUU
rnacentral:rRNA from 1 species